AACGUAGGAGACAAACGUUAUCCGGAGUUACUGGGCGUAAAGGGCGUGUAGGCGGUCUGUUAAGUCUGGCGUGAAAGCUCUCGGCUAAACCGGGAGAGGUCGUUGGAUACUGGCAGACUAGAGGACGGUAGAGGCGUGUGGAAUUCCGGGUGUAGUGGUGAAAUGCGUAGAGAUCAGGAGGAACACCGGUGGCGAAGGCGGGUCUCUGGGCCGAAACUGACGCUGAGGAGCGAAAGCGUGGGGAGCAAACAGG
rnacentral:rRNA from 1 species